rnacentral:rRNA from 1 species
UACGUAGGUGACAAGCGUUGUCCGGAUUUACUGGGCGUAAAGAGCGCGCAGGCGGUCGUUCAAGUCGGGUGUGAAAGCCCCCGGCUCAACUGGGGAGGGUCACUUGAAACUGAUCGACUCGAAGGCAGUAGAGGGAAGCGGAAUUCCCGGUGUAGUGGUGAAAUGCGUAGAUAUCGGGAGGAACACCAGUGGCGAAGGCGGCUUCCUGGCCUGUUCUUGACGCUGAGGCGCGAAAGCUAGGGGAGCAAACGGG